rnacentral:lncRNA from 1 species
GUGUCUUCCGCUGUCAUGGCGUCAAUUGCAAGGCCAGGGCACAAAAGGGAGCACUAAAUGUUUGCUAGACCACUGUUUUUUGCUUCUAUUCGCUGUGGACUGCUUAGAAAGAACCUGGGAGACCUCCAAUCUACGCAAUGGUUGAUCCCAGAGCUGUUGAGGUCAUUGGACG